rnacentral:lncRNA from 1 species
ACCUCUAUCAUAUAACACGGUUUCACACAACAUGGUUUUUUUAGGAAUUUACUUUGUUAUAAGAGGGAUACCGAUAUUUUUUUUUUUAUAGAAAAUGAUGCGAUUGUCUAUACUUAAAGUGAUGAUAAAAUACCUGUUAAUAAUCAAUAUAUUGUUUAACAGAUCAUUUUUGUUGCAUAUUAUAAAUGCGUCCAUAAGUUGCCGGAUUGGCUUCGUGGAAACUCUUCGGCUUUCCAUUCUGAAAGACCCGGGUUCGAGUCUCGGGUCCCACCCCUUGAAAAUAUUUAUCAUGGGGUCGGGGCCCAGUACGUCGAUCCCCAUCCUCCACAAUUCGGCUGACCCCUCUGCAGGGGUGGACAGCCUAUGGAAGAGCUUGUUUCGC